AACGAACGCUGGCGGCAGGCCUAACACAUGCAAGUCGAGCGCACCCUUCGGGGUGAGCGGCGGACGGGUGAGUAACGCGUGGGAACGUGCCCUUCUCUGCGGAAUAGCCUCGGGAAACUGAGAGUAAUACCGCAUACGCCCUUUGGGGGAAAGAUUUAUCGGAGAAGGAUCGGCCCGCGUUGGAUUAGGUAGUUGGUGGGGUAAUGGCCCACCAAGCCGACGAUCCAUAGCUGGUUUGAGAGGAUGAUCAGCCACACUGGGACUGAGACACGGCCCAGACUCCCGCGGGGGGGAGAAGGGGGGAAUCUUAGAAAAGGGGGGCAACCCUGAUAUCGCCGGGCCGGGGGAGUGAAGAAGGCCUUGGGGUUGUAAAGCUCUUUCAGCGGGGAAGAUAAUGACGGUACCAGCAGAAGAAGCCCCGGCUAACUCCGU
rnacentral:rRNA from 1 species